rfam:Echinostoma caproni strain Egypt genome assembly, scaffold: ECPE_scaffold0015171
GCACUGCUGAUGAGACUUAACCAGGUCGAAACAGCUUUCCAGUGC